UUUCCGUAGGUGAACCUGCGGAAGGAUCAUUAAUGAGUUGUCAUGGGGUUCGAUGCUGGCAGCCAGUUUUUGGAUGCAUGUGCUUGCCCUAACAAUCAUCUUCUUCCAAACACCUGUGCACAUUUUUGAGGGAGUCUUGAGUCGGUUGCCGCUCUUGGGUGAUUUUCUCACAUUCCCUUAAAUCAUUAUACGCUAUUAACAAUGUUGAACGUGCUCUGUGCCGCAAGGCCAUUAAUAUAAUACAACUUUUAACAACGGAUCUCUUGGCUCUC
rnacentral:misc_RNA from 1 species